GGACAUUUUUGCCCCUGCCGCUGAAGUUGUGAAACGAUUUCGGGCACUCUUUGCCGCCGCCGCCUCCGGAUUUGGGGAUGGAUUUGGGCUCGUGCUACCUCGGCGGCAACGCUGACGCGGUGGAGUUCUGCCCGCACCGCCCGUUCCGCCACGUGCUCGCCGCGGCCACCUACACGCUGCAGGAGCAGGAGCAGGACCGCGCGGGCAGCAUCUCCCUCUUCUCCGUCGACGCCGCCGCGGAGGACGAGUCCCAGCGGCUCCGGCUGCUGCAUACUGUAGAGACCGCCGGCGUCUUUGAUAUGAAGUGGAGCCCCGCGUCGCCGCUGCUUGCACAGGCCGAUGCCCACGGCCGCCUCGAGCUACGGCGCCUGGAGCAGGACGACGGCUCGGAUGCAGGCAUUGUCUUCACGGAUGUGUGUGCUGAAGAUAUUUCUUCUUCAAUGUGCCUGUACGUGGACUGGAACCAAACUGCUGAGUCUCUGUCUGUCGGAUUAUCAGAUGGCUCCCUAUCUGUGGUCUCAGUGAGAGAGGACCGAUUGGAGAUAUCAGAACAGUGGGCUGCACAUCAAUUCGAAGUCUGGACAUGUUAUUUUGAUCGCACAAGGCCACACUUGCUGUACAGUGGAUCAGACGACUGCUGUUUCAGUUGCUGGGACUUGAGAGAAAGCCCAUCUAACAUUGUUUUUCAAAACAAAAAGUCUCAUAGUAUGGGUGUUUGUUGUUUUGCUCAGAAUCCAUUUGAGGAGAACAUGCUACUUACUGGAAGUUAUGAUGAAUGUCUCAGAGUUUGGGACAUGAGAUUAAUGGCAAAACCUGUUAACGAAAAGUUGAUAAAUCUAGGAGGUGGUGUGUGGAGGAUGAAGUAUCAUCCAAGUAUUGCAGAUGUUGUAUUGGCUGCAUGCAUGCACAAUGGGUUUGCCAUUGUUAAAGUGGGUUCGGGAGAUGCUACGACAAUGGAAACAUAUUGCAAGCAUGAAUCCCUAGCAUACGGUGCGGAUUGGCAGAAAAGUGAAGGAGCAGAGCAGAAUGGAAAUUCUUCAGUUGUUGCUACUUGUUCAUUUUAUGACCGCCUUCUCCGUGUGUGGCAACCAGAGAACCUAGCCGAGCUUUAAGGCUAAGCUUCAUCUUACUCAAUUCAAGCAUGACUAUGCCAUGAAGCUAUUUCCUGAAUGAACCAAUAUAAUUUCAUUCAGGUUUGCAAGUGGAAUGAGAAUUAAUCUGGAGAAGGAAUAUUGUCAGAAUUGACGUGAGCUGAGGCAAGAACAGCAUUGUUGUGAGUUCCAGCAAAUGAGCACUUACAACAGUAAAAUUUGGUUCCACUUUUAUUGCCCUUUCUCCACUAAAACAUAAUGUGCUGACCAAUACAAAAUACCACCAUGCAGAUUCUCAGUUCUUGCAAUGUAUUUAGCUGGACAGUCACCUGCAGACAUCAUCAAGCUCACCAGGGUAUAUAAAGUACCCCUCUCCCCUCCCCUUGUUCUCAGCCCCCAUAACCAUGGCAGAUGCAUGGCUUGAGCAUCUACAUGGUUCUUGAGAGCUAAAGAGAAUGAAGAUGGAGGGCGAAAGCUGAGCUCCUCCUCAAGAAGCAAAUCUGUUCUCAAGGCGUCGCCUAGGCGACGCCUAGGCGUCCAUGCGCCGUCCACCGAUUUGCGCCUUGCUCGCCUAGGCGUCCAGCCGCCCCACCUUGCUAGGCGUCCGCCUUACCGCCUUGAGAACAGAAGCAUUCAGUUAUAUGGUGGUGGUUAGCUGAGAUAUGUUGAUGGUAUAUGGGUCUGUGCUGCAACUAGAGACAUUCCUAUUUUUUAUUUGUAUUUUUUGUUAUUAUAUGCUGUUUCAGAUUCUUUUAACACACUUUCGUUGCUUGUGUUUGUAAAUUGUGGAUUUGUAGUUCAGCUAUAUACAUACACUACUACCAAGGGAAAAUCUCUUCUGGUUGAUAUAAAGAUAACUGUUAUCUGAAAUAUGAUGUUAUAAGCAAUGAAAAGAGAAGCAAGAAAGGUUGAUACGUACUUCUUUUGGCCUGUCUUAGGAGCAUAUCUUCUGCAUGGAAAGCAACAAAGUAUUUCUCCACUUAGAAGAAAUGACCUAUCAUACCUGUAUUUUACUGCCUUCUGAAAGUAGGAACCUUAGACCAUGCAUUUUGGGCUUUGUUUUAGUGCUUUCGAAACCAGCUGCUCUAGUCAAAGAACUGGAAUACCUUGACGAAAAAAGAGCUGACAUCAUCUGCUGCUAAUCAAAUUCAUGCAAGGAAGAUAUGCGAAGCUAGUCCUAUGCAAUGGGUCUACUGCAAACGCAAGAUUUGCAAUUCUAUCCAAUUAUAACUACAGCUCCGGAGCUUCGUGAUUGUUUUCUCUGCAUUGGCAUGUAGAGAGAUGAAGCCUAACAAUGUCUGGAACCAUCAUCUCACAACUUCCAGGAACCUUUGCCUGCCUGGAGCAGCGAAGCAUACAGUAGUUCGUUCCACGUAUCUGGCACGCCAGGCAAGCACCAGUGGCUGCAGUCCUGCUUUUUCACCGCCGCUAUCCGUUCCUCCUCUGUGCCGUACCAUCUUCGGUACGCUGAUGGAUGGCCAUCUUUUCGGUAAUCAGUGAGUGUGCUGAUGUUGAGGUAUAUCACGGGAGUUUUCAUCUGCCUCAGGACCUGCUCCAGGAUCACCAUCUUCUCAGGGUACUCAGUAAGGUAUGUCUGGUUGAAGAUUGGCUCUGUCUCCGUGUGGCAUCUUCCUCCUGAAUUCCACUGCCCUCCCCUGGGGAAAAAUGCAUCAUUGUCAGAUGAAGAAGAUAUGGUAUCAACAAUCUGCCAGCGUAAUGGCGAUUUCUUACCUGAAAUGUGAUAGUGAAUAUCCUCUGAAUACAACCUGGGUUCUUCUCGAA